AAAAUAAAUUUAUUACCUACUUUAUUUUAUCGUGAAGAAUUUGCCCUUUCUGUAUCCGAAAGAUAGCAGAUGUGAUGGGGCAACAGGAGAGGGAGGAAGGAUGAUUUAUUACAACGUCGUUUCAGAUUAUGCCGAAUUCAUUACCUACGAUUAUCUCUAAUGGUAUUGCAAAGAUAAUCAACGCUGACGAGACAUCCAACAAGGAUUGUAAUUACAAGAAUAAAUUCGGCGGCAUCGCGCAAGUGGUUUGCCAUUAAAAUAAAAAACAAGUAACAAGGGUAUGUCAAAGAAACGUUUUGAAUAAAGCGAUCACGUGUGAGGCUAAGCCGGACUAUAAACCCAGAGGAAAAGAGAACAGCUGGUAUACUAACAAUAAGUCAAAACGCUGGGAUAUCUUCUUUAAUCCAUCAAGACCUUUUAGAACCCUUCAGGGGGAAAAAAGGACAACUGUUGUUGCUUAAAAAAAGCAAUAAGUGAAAUGACUCAGUGAAGAGGGUGCUGGAAGAAAAUUGGUCGUAUGCGGUCUGUACAGCCUCGCUUUUUUUGUCAUUUGUACACACUCAAAGACGCACUUUUCUCUUCCUACCAUCAAUCUCUUUCCCUUCCUCUCACUCCUGUUUAUUUCACGUCUCAUUCUAACCUAUCUAUCUUAUGUAAAUACGUACCUACGUACGUACGUAUCUAUCCUUCCUUCUUCUUCUGACUGACAGACAUAUUUUCUGUUAAUGAUUCUAUCUCUAUUUAUUUAUUAUG
rnacentral:lncRNA from 1 species